rnacentral:tRNA from 3 species
GCGCGUGUAGCUCAGAGGUUAGAGCGUGCGGUUCACAUCCGUAAGGUCCCUGGUUCGAAUCCAGGCACGCGCACUA